rnacentral:lncRNA from 10 species
AUUUCUCCAUCCCUCUCUCCCUUGCUCUCCUUCUGCAGCAGGAGGAGCUGCAGACAGAACCCCUCAGACACCGAGUUGUAGAAGGAAGGGCUUUAUUCAGCUGGGAGCAUCCGCAGACUCACGUCUCCAAAAACCAAGCUCUCCGAGUGAGCAAUUCCUGUCCCUCUUAAGGGCUUACAACUCUAAGGGGGUCCGCGUGAGAGGGUCUUGAUGGAUUGAGGAAGCAGAGGGUACGUGACUGGGGGCUGCAUGCACAGACAACGAGAGCGAAACCACAGAGAAAAGAAACAUCCCGUGCAUCACGGCCUGAUGAUGGAUUCCUGUUUCCUGCAAAAUGGGGAGUCUCCAAUAUAGCCUGUUUGAAAACUGGAAAGGAGAGCACCGACACGAUGCUGGUCUUCCACGCAUUCCUGGAAGUUUCUGGGGCCCCACAGAGCUCGCGAAACAGUCAACAUGGUCACGCUUUCGGGGGGCAGAAACUUGAGCAACAGGCACCUUUACAGAGGGCAAAGAAACGUGGAAUCCAGAAUCACGCUUCAGUUGGCCUGAGUGUGACUCCUGUGUGGAUGGGACUAUCCGCCUCGAGCUCUGUUGCAGGGCUCAACGUGGGGAUAUGUCAUCUGUGAACCAUGUGGAUGAAAAACAGACAACUACCUGGGUCUCGG